CCAUAUCAAUGCGAAUCACAAGCAAGCCUGUAGUGACCUUGAGAAGGCCAGUCUAUUCAUCACAGAAGCAUUGCAGAGUGAGAUCCAGAGGAACACAACUCUAUGCAUGUUAGUCCACCGUCUGGAAGAGAGGGCAGCUGAGAAUGGAAGGAGCCAAUCAGAGCAGGUGGAGUCAAACCGGCAGCUGAAGCUCCAGGUGGAUGAACUACAGAGACAACUGGUGGACAAAGACAACUCACUAAUACAAGCCAAACAGAGUAUUGCUGUCCUGAAGAAUGAACUGGCGAACCUGAAACAGCAGCUGCAGACCCACCAGAAUAAUCACAGC